UCAGUGGUAAUUGAAAAUACUUUAUUCGAUGGUAUUUAGUUAGUUUUAUUCGCCCAUAAAAGUGUUCUUGAAUAAAAUAUUAACAAUUCUAAUAAAUAUUUAUUCUAAUAAAUAUCUAUUUACGUGCUGCAAUUUUUCAUGCCACAGAGGGUGCAACAACACUAACAUGUCCUGGCGCGGUCCCUGCGUCUGCAAAAUAAAUAAUUUUAGUUCAGCAACUGGUCCAGGGUUUACAGCGUCUAUCUCAACUUUUGGCUCCGAUCCUUCCACAAUUGAACGGCUGACUCGAAGAUGGUAUAGACCAUUACCACCAUUACCGCCAAAAGUGUCGCAUGCCUCCGUUUCUGUGAUAAAAAUUAAAAAAUUUAAUUGUAGUUAUUUAAUUAAAAUUUUAAUUUUAAUAACUUUCAAUUCAAUUGUAGUUAUGAUUCGAUGAGUAGCGAAUGAUGAAUUAGUUUCUUUUAUAACCAGUUUUGAACUCACGCUGAUUCUGGGCGGUGAUCGCCAUUAGCGCCACAAGAACGAGAAUUGCCUGGUAUUUGAACAUGACUGCUAUGAUCACUGAGUGAGUAAAUGAUGAUGGCAAAAUACAAAUUGUGCUCUUCGUGUAGUGAGGCGUAGUUUAUAUGGAAUCUGAUCCGCACUCUGAAGAUUCAAUAUGUUCUUCACUUCCUCGAUCCAGAAUCAUUCUAUAGGGGAUUCAUACGACUAUGAUACCACGUACGCAGCAAAAUAAUUUCAUCAACCAGUAACUAAUAAUUUCGUUUAAUAAUAUUAAAGUUCUAUUUUAUUCUUCAAGUCAAAUUUUUAUUGGUUUUGCAAACUAUCAAUUGUGAAACGGUAUUUUUCAAUUUUUGGUCUUGUUUGUGGUUCAUUGUUCUUUUAACUCUUCACUUCGAUUUCACGAGUGAGUUAUUUUAUAUCUGCAAAGCAAUAAAUAACACAUGACAAUUAUUGAAAUUCAAAACGAUAUUUGAAAUCACUCCACGAUAGAAACCACUUCAAUUGUUG
rnacentral:misc_RNA from 1 species